GGUGGCUCAGUGGUAGAGCACUUGCCUUGCAUGCACGAGACCCUGGGUUUGAUUCCCCAGUACCA
rnacentral:tRNA from 1 species